rnacentral:lncRNA from 1 species
AACUCAUUUUUUUUAACAAGCAUUUUAUUGUUUAAUUUAAAAAAUUCGAAAACCGAUUGGUCUUAUAUACAUGAUAAAGACUCACCGACGCCGAACCAUAUUCAUUUAAAUUAGUUUUCAACUGAGAUUUGAAUUUUGAAAUUACAUACACAAACACGCUCAAUUUAAAAAUAAAAAAUAGUAAUUAUAAAAUAUUUCUGUCGUCCUCCAUUCAAUUAUCAAAAAACGACUUUAUAAUCGAUUUUAACAUAAGGUAUAUGGGUUAACAAGUCCCAAUAUUGUCCUCCAUCCUUUCUGCACUUCUCUUCUAUCAACGGACAUCUCCAGAUCUGUAAUUGCAAAAGUGAGGAAGGCAGGCCCUUCUCCGGAAAGUAUUUAAGCUUGGGACAUCCAUGGAGUCGCAAUUCAGUGAGGUUUUGAAGAUCAACAAUUGAAGAAGGUAGGCGUUCCAGAUUUGAAAAUAAAAGAAUGCUCAGAGAUGUUAGAGAGGCAGGAAGAGGAAGCGCGGUCCCUAAUCUUUUGUCCUCUAGUGGAAAUGACACCAUGUCGUCAUAACAUCCUCCGAUUUCUAGAUGUCGCAUAGAGGAGAAUCUGUGAAAUCCCCGACCCCGCUCAACCAUUGACUUCCAAAUCUCCAUAUUACCCCUGAUAUGAAGUGACUGAAUCUUGGUGGGAAGGCCAUCUUCUUCAAGGCUUGGAAGCUCACCUCCUAUUCUUAAUUCUUGAACAGAAGUCAGGUUGUGCAAUCCCUUGGGUAAGGCCUCUAGUCUCUUGCACCAACGGAUACAGAGCUUAGUGACUUUCGCACAAGGCAGUCCCCCUUCGGGAAAGGACACCAGAUUUCCACACCUCUCUACACUAAUCUCUCGAAGCUGGUGGAGAUUAUGUAAACCACUCGGUAAAAUUUUCAGAUUUUCACACUCAGAAAUGUAGAUAUCUUCAAGAGAUGUGUUGUUGUCCAACCUUUCUGCUAUUGACUCCAGAUUUCCACACAUCUGUAUACUAAUCUUUCGAAGCUGGCGGAGAUUAUGUAAACCACUCGGUAAAAUUUUCGGACUUUCACAAUUAGAAAUUCUGAUUGUUUCAAGGGAUGUGUUGUUGUCCAAUCUUUCUGCUAUUGACUCCAGCUUUGAACAUCCAUAAACAUCAAGGGACUUAAGAGACGAAGGUAGAUUGCCAACUUCAAGGGACUCAAGCGUGGCAGGUAACUCGUUUUGUGAAAAUAUACAUGUCAGUGAUGGACAAUCCCUAAUUUCCAACUCCUCGAGAAGAGAUGAGGUGUACCUUCUGCCGCUGCUACUCUGGAUGCCCUCUUCCACUGUCAAAGUCCUUAUAUUAUCGCAACGCCAGAUCUUCAACUUCUUAAGGCUCGAUGGUAGCUGGACAGCAGCAAUAUAUGUCAACGAACAACAAUACUGAAUAUUCAAGAUCUCGAGAGACGAAUGGGUGUCGCACAUCCAUGCCUCUGGUAACGAUUUCAGUGCAUCACAAUGCCCAAUCUGAAUUUCCUUCAACUUGGAAGGCAGAGCAACCUCAGGAAACGAAACAAGGGAACUGCAGUUGUAGAUUUCUAUCUCUCUCAAGGAACUGAGGCUGAACGAUGAUUGUGGCAGCUUCACAAGGCCUUCGCAUCGGUUCAAUUCUAGAUAUUCAAGUCUGCUUGACAAUUCGCAGAGCUGCUGUUGUUGGUCUUUCUCUUCCUCCGCCACCAAGGAUUGAAGUUUGGGACAGCUGUCAAUCGUCAGUCUUUUGAGAGAGCAAAUGUCUUGCAGUAAUUCGUUAUGACUCUUCCAUAUAUAUGUUUCAUUUUUAAUAUUAUUUAUCCCCAAUUUUUCCAGUUUUGGUAGUCGCGGCUUCAAUGGCCCUGCGAGAAACACUUGAUUUGAUGCAUCUCUACAAACCACUGAAUUCUGUGAGCCGAGAUGAUCGGUUGCACUUCUCCACACAACCUUUUUACAUCCAUUAAUCUCUAAUUUGCAAAGAGCUGGAAGACUCGUAACUGAAACUGACAAUUCUUCACAUCCUCCAAUAACAAGCAUCUCCAAUGCAGGAAGGCAUUCUGGCAAUGUUCCUUGUAGUUUAGAACAUCUUGAAAUGCGAAGCUCGCUCAAUUUCGGAAACCCUUCAACUCCCUGACCAGAUCUAAGAGGAAUCCAGUCUUCCCAUUCUUGCAAGUCUUCAAAACAAAGAGUCUCCAAGCAUGGAAAAGGAAUCGGGGAAUCAUUCCCAUAGAACUCUGAACCCAAACUCUUUACUCUACUCAUUCCACUCACUUCAAGAUGCUUUAGAGAGGGUAGUUGCCCGACUGACGGCAGGGUAGUACACACGCCGCAAUCUUGAAAAUCUAAGGUCGCUAAAUUUGAGAAUAAGGAAUCUCCCAACCAAGUUGGAAAUUCUUUACCUCCAUAGCCACCGAUACAAAUUUGUUCCAGAUUUUCAUGAGGUUUUAGCAUGUCGAGCACAUCCUUUUCAGUUUCUGCCUCCCUUGAAGACAAACCAUCGGUACUCCGUGUCCAUCGAAACCUUAACACUUUAAGAUUCUUCUUUCCAUUCAAUUGAGCCUCCUUUGCAUCACCAAUGUCUUUUACGUUCUCCAAUUUUGAAAUGUUAAGUGUCCCACGAAGAUGCGUCAACAAUUUUAGCUCUCGUAUCCCGGAACCACUGUCUUUUCCCACAACAAAAUUACACAGCGUCUGAAGGCAAGUCAACUUACCAAUUCCUAGUGGCAUCUCCUCCAAUGAACCUGUAUAUGAAUUAUUGAGAUGAUGCAAUUUGAUGAGAUUUCCCAUGUCUGCACACAACUUCUUCAGUCGCAGACAGCCCUCCAACAGAAGGGUGUGCAAAUUGUAAAGCGUGUUGACUGAUUCAGGCAGAGUUAUAAUGCCAGUUCGCGAUAAGUUAAGGUACCUUAAAUACCUCAAAUCACUAAUUGAAUCCGGUAGCUCAGAGAUUUGAUAUCCAUGCAGUGAGAAAACCCUCAACCGUUGGAGUUUGAACAACAUAGGAAGAAUGCUACGAGCCAAGUAUCCACGCGAACUAUUUGACUGCAUUACUCGUAAAAAUGUUCGCAAAUGUUGGAUAUCGUACAAGCCCUCAAACCUUUUAACGCCAUCAUAUUUUCCACAAAUGUACGAUAGAUGACGAAGAUUUUUGGAAAAACUUUGUUGCUUGUUAACCUCUGAGGUAUACUCCAUUGUGAAGUAUAUAUCCCCCGCAGCCCAUUGAGCAAGGUCGUUGACAAGGUCAUGCAUCACAAAUCGUGAUUUAUUGUUGCUUGAUUGCUGGAAAAAAGAUCUUGAACGUAGCUCUUGAAAGAACUUUCGACCUAGAUCUUCAUUAGGAUUCCCACUCUCUUUGUGAUCCAAGAAACCCGAAGCACACCAUAAUAAAAUUAUCUCCUCCUCUUCAAAUUCAUAAUCCUUUGGAAACAAUGAGCAGUAUGCAAAGCAUUGUUUCAAAGGUGCCGAAAGAUAAUAGUAGCUCACUCUAAGCGCCGGUAUAAUGUCACAUCUCUCUUCUGGUAAAUCCCAUAUCUUGCAACUGAGCACACCUUCCCAAUCACUCCGGUCAAGUUUACCUCGUAAGAGUCCACCAAGAGUUUUCGCAGCUAAGGGCAAGCCGUUGCAUUUGAUCACUAUCUUCUUGCCAAUUUCCUCCAAUGGCUUGUUUGAACUGAAAUCUCUUGUCCCCAAAGAGUGUUGAGCGAACACAGACAGACAAUCAUCAUUUGACAGCUUUUUCAAUUGAUAAGCCGGAGCAGUCCCCAUGAUGGCUGCAACCCCUUGAUUACGAGCUGUGACAAUAAUCUUACUUCCCGGUGCGCCAGCUUCAAAUGGAAGUCUGAGUCGAUCCCAACCAUUGUAAUUCUCAUUCCAAACGUCAUCUAAAACAAGCAAAAAUUUCUUUUGAGAUAACUUCUUCUUCAGCUCCUCUUGAAGCAAAUUUAAAUCACUGUCAUCAGUAGUCUGCUUAGUAAUGGAUCUUAGAAUUGUUUUUGUUAGCCUGAUAACAUCAAAAUCAUCAGAGACACAAGUCCAUGCCUUGAGAUCAAAAUGACCCUGCACUCGAGCAUCAUUAUAGACAAGCUGAGCGAGAGUGGUUUUACCCAGCCCGCCCAUGCCUAUGAUAGGAAUAACAGAGAAUUCACCAUCAUUUCUCAAAUCAUCCCUCAACAACAAUUCAACAAUUUCCUUCUUUUCUGCUUCCCUGCCAAAUACCUUGGCUUCAUUCACCAAAGAGGUUGUGGGUAGUCUUUGCCUGCCUUUUCUGGACCUCCCAGCUGAACUUUCUUUCAAAUUCAGCAAGUCUUUCUCUGUUAGAAUUUCUUGAAAUCUGUCGUUGAUCCCUUUGAUUUUGGACAUCAAGGCGAAAUCGAACUGAAUCGAUUGCAGAGUAAAAGUGGUGCUGCAAGUAAGAAUGAGCUUCCGAAACUCACUUGUUCUUGUACGACUGCUACUGGGUUGAUCCUGAGCCGCAGCGGGAUCUCCAUUUCCAAGCAGCAACUUCCUCCGGAAAGCCUCAGUUUGAAACUCAUCCAACAAGUCUUCAACAUCAAAAGCCAAGUUCUGAAGCUCGCCAAGCCACAACUUCACAAUCUCAUCAGUCCUCUUCUUCUCCUCAGCAUCAGCAAGCACCGCCUUGAUCUUCAAAAGCAUCGCCUUCCACUUCAUUAGAUCGGCCCGGAUUUGAUCUUGGCGUGGAAACAACCGAAUCCCCACUGAAGCUAACUUAUAGACCAAUAACUCAACGGACGCCGUCAGGAUUGCCUCUCCGAUGAUUGACAUUUUUUUUCUUUUUUUUUUUGUUUUGCAAAGAAAGAAACAGAAUUUUGAGUUUUGAAAAGCAAAAUGAGAAAAUUGAACAGUAAGUGGGCAGAGUCAAGCAAAAUGCGCGUAACAAGUCUUCCGCUUAUUGUUUAUUCCAGUAAAGUGAAAAUAAAAACAGAGCCCACCACCCAUUAAUAAUUUAGCAAUUCACCAAUCACCAGUCACCACCACUCGUUACCAUGAAUAUAAUAAAUUGCACCUUGAUAUUUGCAGUGUCCAGCAACAUUGACCCAGUGUCCGGGUAAAUGCUGAAUAAAGAGGAAAAUGGAAUGUAUCCACUACGAACCUUCGCUUUACAAGUCUUCAAACUCAUAAACCAAGUUAAAUCAAAACGUUUAUCUCUCUCUCCCUUUUUGCCAUAUAAUUACUUUAUUUAUUGAAUUAAUUUCCAUGCUAAAACGAACACUUAAAAGUGCACUAUAAUUUUUUAUGAUCACAAUGGUAAUAAAUUUUUUUUAUAUGAACACUCUUUUUAUUUAUGAAUUUCUCAAUUUUUAAUAUUUUUCUCACUCUUUUAAUCUUAUUAUUUGUAUUUUUCUCUUUAAAUUUUCUUUAUUAUUUAAUUUUUAAAAAAAAUAUGAAAAAAAAAAUAUUAUACUUAAAAAAUAAUAAAUAUUUUAUGGGAGCUUAUUGACAAUGAAAGAGCACGUGAAAAAUCUCACUUCAUAUAAAACUUUGUGAAAGGCAUUUGAAUGUGUGGCCACAUUUUCCGAACGAAACGAUAAGGCUUUAGCCUUAUAUUUGCAAUUAGUUUGUCUUGUAACUAAAUUAUUGCCGACAAACACCAUCAUGCUGACAAACCGUGCAUGCACGUCCUCAAUCACCCACGUCCUCUACUUGUUUGAACCGUGAUUCUCAAAGACUUCGACAUCGUAUUUCCCAUUAUUUCCCGUACUUUAUGCAUUAUUGUUUUGUAUGGCUUUUGGUGUUUGCGGUGUAGUUAGGGAUGGUAGCGGGUAGGGUCUGGUACGGGUUUAACAUUACCAAACCCGCAUCUACAAAAAUUUUUAACAAAGCCCAUUUACUGUGGGUUUGGCUGGUGUGCCUAGAGCUGGCAAUAUUUGACACGAUCCGAUUAUCCGACACGAACACGACAUAAAUAAAUGGGUAUGGGUCGUCAAAUUUAACACGAUUAUUAAAUGGGUCGGGUCCGGGUCAACAUGAUUUUUUUCCGUGUCGGGUUUGGGUUAAAAUUCUUGACCCAUUUACCCGAUCAAUGACCCGAUUAUAUUUUCUAUCUUAAAAUAAUUUACAUAUUCUUAUCAUUAAAACUCAAAUAUUAGAGAUGAUUUUUUUUUAUUCUUUAAAAAGGUGAAUAUAAACACAGUGUUUUAUUUAUAAAAUUUUAAAUACAUUUAGAGCUUCAAUAGUGUAAAUGUGUAAAAAUUGAUAGACAUGUAUAUUUUAUAAUAUUGAUAUAUAAUAUUAUAUAUAUAUAAUUAAAACCUCAAUAGUGUAAAUGUGUAAUAUAUUGGUAGAUAUGUAUAUUUUAUAAUAUCGAUAAAUUAUGUAUGUUUGUAUGUACAUACGUAUGUAUGAUAGUGUGUAAAUAUUUGAUGUAACUUUUGUUCAAUAUAUAGAUAUUAAACGGGUUAUUGGGUAACCCGAUUAUUUUUCCGUGUCGGGUUUGGGUCUCAAUAUUUUGACACGAUUAUUAAAUGGGUCGGGUUUGGGUCGACCUAAAUUUGACACGACACGAAGCUGACACGACACGAACACGACCCGAUGACCCGUUUUGUCAGCUCUAGGUGUGCCUAGUGGAUAUUUUGCAAGUUCCCACUUAUAAAAUCAUGCUUGCAACAAAAUCUAAAAAUUUAAAUUACGUAAUUCAAAUUAUAAAUUUAUAACUGUUGCCUAAAAAAAACCACAUAAAAUACUUAAUUGUAGAUUUUAUCAAUGUAAAUGAGAAAUGAAAAUAUCAACAUUAAAACAAAUACACAAAAUAUAUCAAUUUAACACGAAUUCUCUAAUUCAAUUACCAAAUAAAUAAGUCUAUCACAACUCGAAGUGCUUUCAAUUAUUGUAACUUCAAAUCCUUACAAAUUACAUAUUACAGACAUGAACACUAUGUUUUGACAUAGUGGCUUUUGGCUUGUCCAGAGAAAUUUAGGAUAGAUUUUGAUGUACUAAGGUUCUGUUUACUAUUGAGAUUUUGGAACUUUUGAGCCACACUUGAAAUUUGUAUUAUUCUAAUAGAGUUGUAGCCUUCGAUAUGUGAUUGGUAUUAAUCAUGUGUUAUGUUUACAGCAGUUAAAGGCAUAUUGAAUCAAAAUCCACUUUUGAUUGAGAUUUUAAAGUAGGUUUUUAAUUUGAUAGCCACUCGAGUUCAAAUAUUGGAACCAUAGUGCUUUAUAACCAAGUGAGAGAACUUGUGUCCUAAAAGUUGAGGGCUGCAGAUCGAGUUUUACUACCAACAACAAAAGUUGGUGUUAAGACUUUAGUUCCCCUCCUACUAAUGGUUAAGGAUAAUUAGGACUUUACAUCCCCUCCUAUUAAUAGACAUGGGUUAUUAGGAAUUUUAAAAAAAGGUUUAAAUAUUGAAAAAUUAGGUUAUAAAAUUCAUAAUACAAGAACAGUAAAUCAAGAUAAAAAUUUAAAAAUUUAGAACAAUGAGAGCGUAACUUGUAAGUUUCAAAGAAGCAUGUGCAGAUAUAUGCGUAUCAAUACCCAUUAGGGGUGGGCAUUAAAAUCGGGUUAACCCGAACUGAACCUUCAAUUUAGCAUAGAUAAUGAAUUUAUGCCUGUACUCUAUAAUGCAAAUAAUAUUAUGUUUUUAAUUCAAUUUAGCACCCUACAAGAAGAGAUUACCUUAUCGCUUCCAAUCCUUCCUUUAGAUCUAAGCCACUUCAUGAACUUCUUGAUCCUUGAUUCGUUCCAAAAUGUGAUAGGAAGUAUAUUCCUAUCAGGCUGAUUGUUGUCAUAUGCACCAUUAUGGAGAUAAAAGAUCUGCAUGAGCAACUUAUAAUUAAGAAGAAUAAUAUUAUUCAUGGUAAGCAUAUGCUCAACUUUAGUUGCAGAAACUAUGUCACCUGUAGGAAGUGCAAAGAAAUUCCAAUGUAUGCUGCUUGUUGUUUCCACUAUUUCAUUGUCACCAGAAUGUGAGUUUGAAUGACCCAUCCUUUUAUCUCUCUUUUUGUACCUUGCCUUUUGUUCGGGAGGAAGUUCUUUGUAGGUUUUCCCAAUAUGUUUUCAUAACUGUCAAAAUGAUAAUGAAUAUGUCUUAAAACAUAAAAAACUCACAAAAUAAUAUCUGUACAUGCUACAUUUAAUGAAUAUACUAACCCCAAUCGUAACGGACAAAUCUAAAUUUUCACUUCUCAAACGCUUAACUUCUUCAUUGCUGCAAAAGCAUAACAUCUAAUUACUGAUAUUUGGUAUGGGCGUGUUUCUUUCCCGAUAGGUAAAUCACAACGACUACUUACAAGUAAGAGACAAAUCCAUAAGUUGAAGAAGUUGGAAUUGCAUCCUGACCAUUUGCUUUUAGAAUAAGAGCACUUUUUUUCUGUAAGCCCCCUAGUAGUUGUUUACGCUUUCGUCGGUGACUGUCCAAGAAAAAUUUUAAAUAAUUAAGUGAAGGAUAAUUAUUCCAUCAAUAUGUAUUAAAUUUUUUUUAAAAAAAUGAGUUCCCCCACCUGCUAUUCAAAGUCACUGUGUACUCCUUACUUUUUAAUCUAUAAACAUUCCAUAUAUGGUGGAAUUCAAGCACAAAUUAUAAUUUUAUUUUAUUUUUUUUCCUCAUUUAUACCAAUGAAGAAAAAGAUGACAAGAAUAACAAAGGAAAGAUCUUUAUUUUUGCCCAAGACUAAGACCUCUCACACACUCACAAUAAAUGAAUGACAGAGUGAAAAAAAUUGUAUAUAAUAAAGGGAUGGGAUCAAGAGCUCUCAUUUCUUACUACAAAAUUUACGAAAUCUAAAUAUUUCAACAACAUAAAAUUUAAUGGAUAAUGAUCUUUGCUGCAUACAUUAAAAUCAUGACUAUUACCGUGCCCUCAACUUUGCGUCAUACAAACAAAUUUCAUCAUGAAACAAAGUACAAUGCUUUUUUUUUUAAUAAAAACAUACAUUAAAGGCUGCUGCGAAUAUGUAGGGGAUGAUGGGUUGUAACCAAGAUCAAAAUCAAUGCAUUGAAACCAAUAUGACAAAAUCCAUACUAUGAAUUAUUAUAAACACCUAAUAUAGAGUUAGUAUAUCAGAGGGAUUGAUACCUGGAAUGUACUUCAGCAAAACAGGACCCCUGAAAAUAAGAAAGAAAAGUUUUGCUCAACAUUCCAAAAAAAUAGAAGAAAGUAGAGCAUUUUGUCAGCUCUUUUUUAAAAAUUAUAUCGUUGUAACUUACACAAAAUUCCACUUAGCACAAUCGUAAGAUUAAGAUAAAGGCCUGCUUGCUGCACCAGCUUGAUAAACUUCAGCAGAUCAGAAUUCCCCUCCAAGUAAUACUAAAACUAAUUAAAACAAAAACAAAAACAAAAAAACAAAAAAAGCAAAACAUUUACUAAAGAACUUAUUUAAAAUAUUACCCUAGAUUUGAGACUACAAGCAAACAGGGCCUUCUGAUAAAAACAAAUUACAUGCCAUAAAUAAAAUUAUUACAAGCCCACCAAAGAAAUUUUCAGGGUUAUAGUGAUUACAAACCUUCCCUAACUUUAUUUAUCUUCACCAAUGAAAAUAGGUCAACAUUUAACAUUCUUUUACAACCAAGUACACCAAGUCUUACAAUUAAAGGUUUAAGGUUACAAAGCAUAGUUACUUAAGACUCUUAGCUUUAUCGUAAGGCACCUUAGAAAAUUCUAUUACCACACAAAAACCUGGGCCUAUUUCUUAUAAACACGGCAACAAUCACAUCCAAGGUCAAGCAAAUUCAACAACAAGCCCAUACGGCAUAUACCCAGCACAUACAUUGGCCGAUUUGAGGCACAAUACAAUAGAAUAUUAUCAUAAAACCACCACAAUAUCACUGGAUUCGAAUACAGGAACAAUAGAAAUUUAAUUGUUCAAUUAAAUCAUUACCCCAAAUCACGAAUACCAACGAGACUACAUUAAUUCAUGCCACUGGCAGCAGCACAUUCUUUAAUAAAAUCCUUCAAACAUAAAAAAUCAGCUACAUGCAAAUCUAGAAUUUAAAAGGAAAUAUACAAUAAUUUUUUGAAGAGAAGAAAUGCCUUUCCACUUAUAUUCAAGAUAAUUCAAGAAAAUGACAGGCCCCAAUUCGCAGCUCAUCAAAACAAACCCCAUUACUUGCAGUUGCUUGAUGCUCGAUAAUGUUACCUCUCUUUUUUUUUUCAAUUUAUAAUUUUUUCUUUUUUGUGAAUAACGGAAUCUCAAGAUAAAAUAUUGCAGUAUGACUUAAUUGUAACUCUAUCGGUUCAAAAAUAAAAAUGAGAAGCCCUAGCAAUUAUCAUUCGAUUAUCAAUCCCUAGAAAUCAUCUCAAUAUUUCAAGUAAUAAUUUCUCAAUUGCAAAAUCAAAUUAUUGAAACUGAAAUUUCAAGUAAUAUUAAUAAACUAAACUGAAACUUCAAGCAUAUUUAAAUGACAUAAUAAGAUUCUUAAUCAUAUAUUAAAUUAGAGAGAGAGCUCACCGAAACUAUUGGAUGACAUAAGAGAGAGAUACAGCAAGAGAGAUGAUUUACGACAGUGAAAAUUUGAAGCUAUGACUGACGAAAUGAAGCUGAACGCGAGAAAUUGAGCGACGAAUUGAAGCGAGAGUGACAGAUCGAGUAAGCCUGAGUAAAUGGCACUCUUUCGACUACAUCUUUGCUCUUUGCUGUGAUGGGUGGUGAAUAUUCUUGAAUACCAAGUUCAUUGAUCCAAAAUUCUGGAUGUAGGAGAAAACAAUAGCAGAGAGAAUACGAAGGCUGUUAUUUUGAGGAGGAGAGAGAGGCAUCACAAUCCAACGGUUGUGAUUUUUUAGAUAAGUCAAGUGAUGACAUAAUAACUUAAAAGCUUCAUCUUCCUCUAGCUUCCUUUCGUGAAACCCGAAGCAAUUCCUUCCAUCUCUACGAUAUUAACAAAAGCCAAAAUUUUCAACCAUAAUUACAAUUAAUUUGCUACUUAAACAACGUGAAGUUACAAAAUUUUGGUUUCUGAAUGCGGAGUUAAAAACCUCUAACAUCAAUAUAUUGGGAAUUGUGCCCUCAUCGUCUUAAGAUUAUUUGUUAAUAAUUAUGUAGAAAGGAAAAAAGAUGGAUGAUUUCAAUUUCCACCAAUCGAUAUGCAUGCACGAGUCUGAACUGAGACUGAGAAGACUAUUAGUACAGAGAUGGAGGAAAAUAAUCUACUGAAGCACCGAGUUGGCCAAUUUGGAUUUUUCGGAGAAGGUUGAUCUUUAAAGUUCAUUGUUUAUUCAACCAACCAUAAAAAAAUUUAUUGUUUAUUCAACCAAUCAUAAACAAUCUUUUGUAUAUUAAAAAAAAAUUUAAAUGUUCCAGAUGAAAUGGUAUUUUGAAUAUUAUCUGCAAUAUUCACGUGAUUGGUACCACGUUUUUUAUUUUCUUAUUAACAAAAUUAUUUAUUUCGUAGGGACCGCAUUCACGCUUCCAAGUUUCUCAUACAUAUGAAAUUUAACCAUUGCGGUUAAUUAGCAAGUUUUGACCUGGGAAGUCGGAUCCGGCCCGCAUCCACAAGAAUCUGAAAGAUUCGGAUCUGAAAAAAUGCGGAUUCAGACGUAAGAAAUUAAAUUCCGCACGGAUCCCGAUCCGGAUCCGAAUACAAGUGCAUCAAAGCCGGAUAUUCGGAUCCGGCUAAUUUUUAUAUUAAAUUAAAAUAUAUAUAUUAACUUAAAAACAAAUUUAACCUAACUCCCACAUUCACACGCACUCACAACACUUUACCAGCAGCCGCAACCCACAAAUACCUAACACCCAAAUCCCCCCAAUUCCGUAGGAUGUCGCCGUCUGCCUCACGGCCUCGCCUAAGCCUCGUGUCCAAGCCUCGAUCUGAGUCGGUUGCUGUCGUUGCGCGCUGCACGCCUCGAUCUGAGUCGGUCGCUGCCGCUGCACGCUGCACGCCUCGAUCUGAGUGAGUUGCUGCCGCUACACGCUCGAUCUGAGUCAGUUGCUGUCGAAUCCUCGCCAUCGAAGAAGCCUCUUGCCGUCGAAUCCUCGCCAUCGAAGAAGCCUCUUGCCGUCGAAUCCUCGCCAUCGGAGAAGCCUCGUCUAAGCACUUUAAUUAAAAUGGUAUUGGCAAGCCUUGUUGAAUCCUUUGGCCUUUGUUGAUUCAAUUUAGUUUAAUUUUGAAUAAAUUUCUUUGCUGAUUCGUUUCAUCACUUUAAUUAAAUGCAUUAAUUUUCAAUAUAAUGUAAAUGUUUAAUAGGUUUUGGGAUUAAGUUUUAAUUUGGAAAAUUGUUGAAUUUUCAAAAUUAAAAAUUUAAAUGAAAUCUUGGUGAAACCUGUUGUCAUAUGCUGAUUAACAUAGCUAGUCUCUGAAAUAAUUUCUUGAUUCACUAAUUAUGAGUUCAAAUUUGAUGCAGAAUGGGCAACCAGCCUACUGCAAACAAAUCUUCUGGAACAGUUCAGAUGAAGGGACAGCCAAUCCAGCAAAACAGUUAUAAACAACUCUAAAUAAAUUCAUAUACGCAUUGUAACUAAUUACAGCCUUGAUACUUCAUUUGGUUUUUGUUAAUUUUCUAUACAGUUGUGCUGUGCAUUAAAGUUUUGUUAAAUGAAAUCGGUAGGUGAGGAUUAAUUAAUCAAUUAAUUAAGAUCCAGUUAAUGUAAUUAAUUUUAUUGGAUUUUUUUAAUUCGAGUUCUAAAUUAAUCAAUUAAUUUAGAUUCAUGUGAAAUUGAAGUGAAUUAGUUUCGAUCUGUUUUUCGUCCUAUGUUUGUCUCUGUUUACUCGUACUUUUUUUUUAAAGAGUAUAAGUAACAUUGCAGUACAGUUAGCCCUUGCGUGUUUAAUUAGCAAUUGAAAACUACUGUUGCUGAUGAGGUAGAACAUUAUAACACUGUUGCUGAUGAGGCAGCUGGUAAUUCUUCUGGUGAAGAUAUUAAGACUAUUAAAGCUGAAAUGUAAUUAGAGAAAUAUAAUGCAUUCCCUUAGUUUGCUUUUUGUUUUUUAUAUUUGUUUUGCUAAUGCUUUGCUUAGAUUGCUUUUUGUUUUUUGAGAUUUUAUUGGCUUAGUCAUGGGGUAUUGUUUUCUCUUCUAAUUUCUAUUUUUGUUGUUAUGGGAUUUGAUUGUAGUGUACAUAUACGAAAAUUAUGUAAUCAAGUGCUUUUAAUAAAUCAUGAUCGAUUUACUAUUAAUUAAUUAAAUUUAAUUUACUAAAAUUACUUAUGUACACGAUUAAAAUAAUUUUAAUUCCAUGAUAUAUAUACGCGCGCGCGCACACAAACAAAAUGCAAUUAACUUUGAAAUAUAAAAUAUUUAAAAUAAUCACCGUACUAACAAUAUUUGCCAGAGUCUGAUGAAGAGAAUAUACACACACAUAUAUAAGCGUACAGUGGAAGGAUAAAUAAAAGAAAAUAAAGUUUCUACAGCUGAAUAAUGCAAACUCAUUUUUUUUAAGUAUUUUAUUGUUUAAUUCAAAAACCCAUUAUAUACAUGAUAAAGACUCACCAACGCCGAACCAUAUUAAUUUAAAUUAAUUUUCAACUGAGAUUUGAAUUUUAAAAUUACAUACACAAACACGCCCAAUUUUUUUUAAAAAGUACUAACAAUAAAAUAUUUCAACCGUCCUCUGUUUAGCCGCCAAAAACUGAUUUACCAUUUAUUACAACGAAAGGUAUACAUAGACGGAUAAAUAAUGCUAAUCAACCAAGUCCAAUCAUAAUAAUUUGAUUAUCAAUAUAUUAACCAUGUCCAAUCAUAAUAUUUAAUAAUCACCAAACUUACAAUUCCCAAGUUAGAUUAUACGUAUGAGAAUCUAGCAAGUCCAAUGAUAAUAAUUUGAUUUUUAUUAUAUUAACUGUGUCCAAUCAUGCUAUUUUAAUAAAGAUCACUCGAAUAUUUAUUUGUCCAACGGGUAAAAUUUCAAAACAAUUUUUGCCAAAGUCCUCCUCAGCUGAAUAAUGCAAACCCGUUAUGUUAUUCUACCAUUUCUUAAAUUUAAAGCAUUCCACCAUUUAAUAAAAAAAUUCAAAAACCCAUUAUAUACAAUACAAAAAGCCCACCGACACCAAACCAUAUUAAUUUAAAAUAGUUUUCAAUUGAGAUUUGAAUUUUAAAAUUACAUACACAAACACACCCGAUUUUAAAAAAUAAUAAUAAUGCUAACAAUAAAAUAUUUCAGCCGUCCUCUGUUCAAUCAUCAAAAAUCCAUUUGUCAUCUAUAGCAACACUCGGUAUAUGGGUUAACAAGUCCCAAUAUUGUCCUCCAUCCUUUCUGCACUUCUCUUCUAUCAACGGACAACUCCAGAUCUGUAAUUGCAAAAGUGAGGAAGGCAGGCCCUUCUCUGGAAAGUAUUUGAACUUGGGACAAUCAUAGAGAUACAAAUGAGUGAGGUUUUGAAGAUCAACAAUUGAAGAAGAUAGGCGUUC